rnacentral:rRNA from 1 species
GACGAACGCUGGCGGCGUGCUUAACACAUGCAAGUCGAACGCUGAAGCUCAGCUUUUGUUGGGUGGAUGAGUGGCGAACGGGUGAGUAACACGUGAGUAACCUGCCUCCUUCUUUGGGAUAACGCCCGGAAACGGGUGCUAAUACUGGAUAUUCACUGGUCUUCGCAUGGGGGUUGGUGGAAAGGGUUUUUCUGGUGGGGGAUGGGCUCGCGGCCUAUCAGCUGGUUGGUGGGGUGAUGGCCUACCAAGGCUUUGACGGGUAGCCGGCCUGAGAGGGCGACCGGUGACAGUGGGACGGAGAUACGGCCCAGGGGACGCCGCGGGGGAGAAUUGGGGAAAAUUGGACAAUGGGUGAAAGACUGAUGCAGCGUCGGCGAGUGAGGGAUGGGGGUCGUAGGGUUGUGAACGUCUGACGGUCAUGGUCAAGCCGAAACAAUGGUUGUGGUGACGGUAGUGGGUAAAGAAGCGCCGGCUAACUACGUG